rnacentral:rRNA from 1 species
AGCUGUGACGUUACUCGCAGAAGAAGGACCGGCUAACUCCGUGCCAGCAGCCGCGGUAAUACGGAGGGUCCGAGCGUUAAUCGGAAUUACUGGGCGUAAAGCGUACGUAGGUGGUUUGUUAAGUUGGAUGUGAAAGCCCAGGGCUCAACCUUGGAACUGCAUUCAAAACUGAUGAACUCGAAUAUAGUAGAGGUAAGUGGAAUUUCCUGUGUAGCGGUGAAAUGCGUAGAGAUGGGAAGGAACAUCAGUGGCGAAGGCGACUUACUGGACUAAUAUUGACACUGAGGUACGAAAGCGUGGGUAGCAAACAGGAUUAGAUACCCUGGUAGUCCACGCCGUAAACGAUGUCUACUAGCCGUUGGGAUCCUUGAGAUCUUAGUGGCGCAGCUAACGCACUAAGUAGACCGCCUGGGGAGUACGGUCGCAAGAUUAAAACUCAAAUGAAUUGACGGGGGCCCGCACAAGCGGUGGAGCAUGUGGUUUAAUUCGAAGCAACGCGAAGAACCUUACCUACUCUUGACAUCCACAGAACUUCUGAGAGAUCAGUUGGUGCCUUCGGGAACUGUGAGACAGGUGCUGCAUGGCUGUCGUCAGCUCGUGUUGUGAAAUGUUGGGUUAAGUCCCGUAACGAGCGCAACCCUUGUCCUUAGUUACCAUCAUUUAGUUGGGU